rnacentral:rRNA from 1 species
UACGUAGGGGGCAAGCGUUAUCCGGAUUUACUGGGUGUAAAGGGAGCGUAGACGGUAAAGCAAGUCUGAAGUGAAAUGCCAGUGCUCAACACUGGAACUGCUUUGGAAACUGUUUGGCUGGAGUGCAGGAGAGGUAAGUGGAAUUCCUAGUGUAGCGGUGAAAUGCGUAGAUAUUAGGAGGAACACCAGUGGCGAAGGCGGCUUACUGGACUGUAACUGACUUUGAGGCUCGAAAGCGUGGGGAGCAAACAGG